CAUAUUUGGCCAAAUAAGAAACUAGGAUAUAUGUCUACCCUUAUAAUUUCCUUUAUGUCAGUUUUAAAAUAAAAAUAAAAACCAAUACCUUCUCCCUCAUUCUCGGGUCUUCCAAACCCCAAAACCCCAAACCCUUGCCCGUGAAACUCCAUUCCUCUGCAUUUCUCUCUCUUCACGCAUCCCAUCCUCCAAACAUCAGACCCCUCACCGGAGUUUCUCUUGCUGCCGGCGAUUUCCCGUUCCUUUCCUGUCCUCUUCGUUGCUAUGCACGCGGUGCUGCUCGCGAGCCACCACAGUGCUGUUGUCGUCCCUCCCCUGCUGUGCUAUCGCGUCGCCUGCCCGCGCCACCUGCACCCUUGCCGGUACCUCGAAGCCUCGUCGUAGCUCACCUCCGCCUCCAUGUCGAUGCUUAGUCGUUCCCCGGUGCUCAGUCGCCUCACCGAAGCUUUGAAUACCCCUCUGCCCUCUGUUCUUCGCUGCUCUUGUGAGCAGAGGAUGAUGGAAAUAAUGGCGGAUUAGAGUAGCAAACAUGCAUGAUACAUCGAGAAGCAUGCCUACAUGGAUAAUGGAAUUGAAGAAUAAUGAAAGAAUGACCUUAAGAUUAAUUUAGGUGUAUUUAAGGAGAGAUAUAUAUAUUAUGAUUUUAUGAUUUGAUUUUUAGAUUAACUAUUUAUAUAUUGGAUGCAAUAGUAUGUUUUCGAUUGAGUAUACUCUUUGGCUCAUUUUUUACAAUGGUCGUUGAGUAUUUCUACUCAUUUACAUCAAUAAUAUCAUUUUAUUUCCUCUUCAA